UCCCCGUGUCAUUGUGUUUGCGGCUCCGAGGCGAGCGGGUUAGUGCUGCGGUCGUGGUUGCGGCCCCGGGGGCAGCGGCGGCACCGCGGGCGGGGGGAGCGGCCCGGCCGUUCGGCGGGAGCUCGGAGCGGCGGAGGGGCCGAGUCCGCCCGCCGCAGGCAGCUUGUGACAGUGAUUGAUUUACGAUCUGGCCCAAGGCCAAGCUCAGUGGAACAAGCACAACGAGCUGGAGCAGAACUGGAGCUGGAGCUGCAGAACAACUGGAACCAGAAGCAGCUGCAGAGGAGCUGGAACCGCAAACAGGCUUGAAGCUGCACAGGCUGGAGCUGGAGCUGAAAGAAACCAGAGAGAGAAACUGGAAUCAGAACUCAACUGGAGCCACCCACAAGCUUGAUGUGAUACAUACAAGUUGCAAACACAAACUGAAUAAACAGGAGUACACACUGAACCAAUGAAGUCACAAGCACAAACCCAAUAAAAAGUGGUUGCUACCAAUAAA